rnacentral:tRNA from 3 species
GCGGGUAUAGUUUAGUGGUAAAAGUGUGAUUCG